UAGGGUGCGAGCGUUGUCCGGAAUUACUGGGCGUAAAGGGCUCGUAGGUGGUUUGUCGCGUCGUCUGUGAAAUUCUGGGGCUUAACUCCGGGCGUGCAGGCGAUACGGGCAUAACUUGAGUGCUGUAGGGGUAACUGGAAUUCCUGGUGUAGCGGUGAAAUGCGCAGAUAUCAGGAGGAACACCGAUGGCGAAGGCAGGUUACUGGGCAGUUACUGACGCUGAGGAGCGAAAGCAUGGGUAGCGAACAGGA
rnacentral:misc_RNA from 1 species